rnacentral:rRNA from 1 species
CAGUAGCCACGGUAAUACGAGGGGGGCAAGCGUUGUUCGGAAUUAUUGGGCGUAAAGGGCGCGUAGGCGGCCAUUCAAGUUAGAUGUGAAAGCCCUGGGCUCAACCUAGGAAUUGCAUUUGAUACUGUUUGGCUUGAGUUCGGGAGAGGUGAGUGGAAUUCCCAGUGUAGAGGUGAAAUUCGUAGAUAUUGGGAAGAACACCAGUGGCGAAGGCGGCUCACUGGACCGACACUGACGCUGAGGCGCGAAAGCGUGGGGAGCAAACGGGAUUAGAGACCCCAGUAGUCCCUGUCUCUUAUAC